GGCUGGGAUUAAAGGCGUGCGCCACCACCAUCCUUUGAUUCCUGUGGUAGGAGUGCAGUGUCUUGAAACGGUUUGUUUUGAUUCCAUAGGAUGAUAGUUCCCAGUGAGUGGGUAUGGUGCUGCUGUUUCCAGAACUGAUCAUAGCUGGUUGUCUUCUUCAGAAUUAGUCAUCCUUAAUAGUGCUAAGUGUCAGGAUGGGGAGUGGUCAAAGGCCCCAGACUCAAGUUCUGCUUUCCUAGCAUUGAUAGGGACAUGAUAGGAACUUCAUUUCCUGUGUCUGAAUUCAUUACUAUUAUAGUUUUAUAAUUAACCCACUUCUGAGAUGGUUGGUGAAUAUUUUGAGGUGAAUGCCCUUUGGGUUGUCCUUCUCUGUCUAGACAGGUUAAGACUGUACAUACCACAAAGUAAGGUUAUUAGGGGUUUCUGGGGCAGCGGGACAGCAGAACUGUUGGGUGAGAAACUAGGAAGGCCAAGAAAGCUAUUUGUCCUUUUAUUCUGGAGAGCUAAAAGUGGCUUGAAGUUGACAGUGCCACCCUCUGCCCCCAAGCCAAGGAUGUCAUGGCAUUGGUGUAGUCUUCUCCCACUUUAUCCAUAUAGCUUGCUGCCUACCUAUCAGCCAAUUGAAUGUUUUUUCUUAAAGGUGCUGUGGUAUUUGACUUUGGCCACAGCAAACAGAUCCCUGAAUGGGAAAGAUGCCAUCCCUGCCCCUGUGUGGACACUGUUGAGUUCUACAUUACUGUCCUACUAGAGCACACGAGAAAACAGCAGAAAUGGCCCUGUGCCGACUCUGCGAGAACUUUCUUUGGUCUCUUCUACUUGUUUGUUGCAGGAUUUUUCUAGAUUAAAGGGCAUUCCUCCUGUUUUCAGCAAAUGUUUUCAUUUUCUUCCUCAAUUGCUAGUGGCCACAUCAGGCCAGGGUACCUGUCCCUGAUAACUUUGGAGCUGACCCUACCAAGGCCAUCUUGGGGGACCUACAGAGAUAGGAAAAGAUGAUUCCUUAAUCCCUGUCUCCACUUGGGGCUGAGGGACCUGGUUAGGGAUCCAGUGGCAGCUGUAAAUGACAGGGAGGCUCAGGUGUCACUCCUAGACAGGUUAAGAUGUAGGUACCACAAACCAGAGUUGUUGAGGGUUACCUGGGCUGAGGAGAGCAUGCGGGGUAAGAAGCAGGGAAGGCUGGAAAGCCCUGUAUGGUUCCCAUGAGCAGUGACUAUUGAAGUUUCAUGGCAACCGGCACAUGUGUGGGGAAAGGAUGCCCUGGCUUGAGGACUAUGGUGGUGGAAGGCAUGAGGUACCCAAUCAGUGUCCUCACUUCUUGGCACCAGUAGGUACUUUUCAGGAUUCAAAACAUUGCUUCCAUGAAGAAUAUCUUGCAAUAAAUCCGAGCCAGGUUGAGUCUCUGUGGCUAAGUCCAUAGGCUGAUAGAAGCACAAGGAUUCAGAAUAUAGUUGGGCAACACUGAUAUCCUUGAUUCUUGUAUCUCUGUUCCACCUGCAGGUGAUCACCAACAGAGACAUGAGAGACCUUGCAAUACAUUACAUACACCAUGGACACACUUGGGGGACCAGCUCUGACUAGCUCUGACCGGCUCUCAAGAGGAUUCCUCAGCCACCUCCACACUGUAGUUCAGGCCAGGCUUUCAACCUUCCUUGGAGAGUGACCAGCUGUGACAUUCUGGCCUCUCAGGCUUUCCUGCCACACCUGGUAUCUGCUCACUGCUUCUUUCACCCCCACAGGCAGCGUCACAGAGUUGGGCCAGUCCUUAUGUCCUGUUCUCUUUUCUGUUCUCUUCCCUCUGUCCAUGCUGAUGCAGUCUGUACUCAGAUCCUCCUAGUUCUCGCCUUGAUAGCUGCAGUGGCUUCUUAACCGGCUCCCUGAGAUUCUCCAAGCAUCUUUCACCAUGUUAUUUCCAGGCCUAACAUGCUUCCUGGAACCCGUGGUGCCUUCACGAUGAGAUCUGAGCUCUGUAGUACAUCUGCAGGACUCCUGAGACUCAGUUACUGUGUUCCCUGCUCUGCCUCUGGGCUGUGGCUAGAUUGCUCCUCCAGAGCUGUGGUUCCUCCUACCUGCCCCGCCCAUGUCAGGUACCUGCUGUUUAUUAGGUACCACCUUGGACUCUGCAGACCUCUGUCUGUCAGGGGUGUUCUUCAUUGCCAUGUCUGUUUGUCCCCCCCCCCCCCCGAGCUGGUAUCUGCAUAUACCAGUGGGUUUUCUUUGUUGUAUACACAGCAGUUCCUGGUGCACUGGGGCUGCAGGCAGGAGGGGAAGAAAGAUUGGGCAGAUGCACUAAGCAUGGGCUGGAGUGUUCAGCAUGGUUGGCCACUCUUCUGGCCUGGUCUUUCUUGGUCUCCUCUUCCUUUAUUUUUAUUUUGUUUUAUUUUCACCCUGUGCCUGAGUUCACUGCUUCUGCUUAAGGCACAAGUGGCCACAGGACUGCACAGGGAGAACCCGCGUGACCUACACUUCUGCCUCACAGGCUGCUGCCACCAAGUGUUGGCUUUCCCAUCCUAUUAUGCCUUUUCCUUUCCUCUUUGCUUCACCCUUCACUUGGAAAAUUGUCAAGGCCAGGCUUGUACAGUGCUGUGGCCCACACUGGAGUAGGACUGUGCAAAAAUUCAAAGCUAGGCUGGGUAUAGCCCAGUGAUAGGAAGCUUGCCUGGAGUGCUUGUCAAGGCCUUGGGUUCCGUCCCUGGUAUAACAAGUUAAUGAUAGCAACAAUAGCCAAAAAGCAGCGCUGAGCCUUUCCCAGCCCUGCUUCAACUCCUCGACCUAAGGAUAGAAUCCAUCUUGUUAGGCCUGCACCCUGGGCUGGCUGUUUACUCUUGUGUCCUGCCAUUAGCCCGGAAUUUGACCUUCUCUGACCUUUCCAGACUCACAUAGCUACGCCCCAGGCACUGACUCCCUUGCUAGUUUCAGGCUUGGGCUAGCUUUUCCCUGUCUUCAGCCAGGACUUGUACUUGAACUUCAUGGCUGCUUUCAAGCUCCCCUUCCUGACUAGUCCCAGGGGCACUGAGAGCCCUCCUCUGGGGUACUGAGGGCACACUUCAAUACUGGUCCCUUCAUCCAGCCCUGUGUGGCAAGUGGUAUUCUAUGAGUUUGAAGCAACAGUGAGCUAGCCAGGAAAUGUCCUGCUCCCAGAGUCUCUGAGCUGCUGUGAAGAUUAAUCAGCUGACUCUCUUCCUCCCUGGAUGAGGGAUGCCUCAAGGCUAAGAGUCCUUCCGUGCCUACCCUGGCUGCCCUCUGGUACAGUUGAGCUGAGACCCUCCAGAACACAUGUGCUGUAAAUUAGGGCCUGUGGAGAGGCCUGGGCCCACUGAAUGAUGGUGUGAGCCCUUCUGCACUGAAGGCUGCUCCCACACCCCAGCCCAUGCUUGGCCCUAGCAGUGAGGGCUCUUACUGGCAUGGCUACAUCCUCACAGAAGGUAUCACAGAUUCCAAGUGCUUCUCUCACCCUGGGUGGGAUAUGAGUCUGCUGAUGGAACUCUCUGCAUCCCUGACACCCCAGUGACAGGGCAACGGUGUGGCCAACUCCAACUUCGGGACACUCGAGUUUUCUACUUCCUGGAUUGCCAGCGAACCCUGGACAGGUACAACAAGCACCUGUCAUGACAUUGGCCAGUCAAGCCCAAGCUACAGUGACCCUUAUGUCAAAGCCAUGGACAUCUACCAGAUCUGACAAAUUCCCAGAGAAAAAGGGUGGCCUCAAGGGGCUAUUUGAGCAGAGAUUCCCAAAUGCUUUGGACUUCAUGGAGUGCUGGUUUCUGCCUGUCCUGUCACUGCUGAAUUGGAAGAGCCUGGUUUAUUGCCCAUCAACUUCAAAGGAUAGCUCUGCUCCUGGAUCCCCAGCCUCCUGCCUUUUUCCUCCUACUUGACAAUGAUUGGACUGUGGCAUCUCGCGUGGUGUUGUUGGACUUGGGCUGGAGGUAAUCAUCAACAGAGGCUUGCAGGAAAGGUCUCUGUGCGUUGUACACAUCUUUGAGGUGUUAACCGAGUGGCCUGGAGCUCCACACCCUAUCUAUGAGCUGAUGACAGAAAGAGAACCAGAGAAGAGACGAGUGUGGUUAUCAGGGACUUAGAAUCCCUGCAGGGGCAACCCCUUCAAGUAUCCAAAAUACUGAGCAGAGUAAUUAUGACUUCUCACCAGGAGAAAGCUGUCUGGUCCUGCAGUGCCAGACCCCCAAUAAACCCAAGGUAUCUUGCAGUUUUCAAAGGGACUGAAAUGGCUGCAUGAGCUGGAAGAGCUGAGGAGAAGGACAUACCUGGGAGCCCCAGUGGACUCACCCAGGAACAUCACCAGAUAUUGGCGAUCAACGCCUGAGGGUCCCUAUGCUGCUACCCUAACCUGCACCUGGUGCUGCUGGUUUAUACUGGGGACUUAAAGACAAAUGGCAUGUAGGCCAUCAACCCAUGACUGCUGUGCAUGACUGUGUGUGUACUGUCUAGCCAGGCCUGCACCCAUGGCCCUGAGAUAGCUACCAAGAAAGGCCACACCAUUUCCACCAGGGCUGGAAUUAAGGUGUGGAGGCAACAGUUAUUGAAAAGUAGCUUGCUUCUGCCUACAGUGAUUUCCUCUGUGAUCAUGGCUGGGACACUGGUUCCAGAUCAAUGUAGGGAGGGCAGAAGGUGGCCAUACCAAAGCUGGGCAUCAGCAGUCAUGUGUGUGACAAAGGGCUUGCAAGUUAAAUAAUACUAUGGCAGUCAAGUGAUUUCUAAGUCCUGCCCAAUUCUUGGACUGUGUGUCCUGACUCAGUCAUAGCUGAGGGGCCUGUUAUAGGUGACUUUCUGGGAGCCAGUGCCAGGCCAGCUCAUGCCCUCUCCUGGGUUUGCUGUGCUCUCUGAUGUGGGUCAGGAAGAAAGUGAACCUAGUGGUAUUUGGAGGCAUUUGGGUUCAGCAGUUCUGGCCACAGUACUAGUAUUUCUAGCUGCCUGAGCUUGGCAAGCUCCUUUGCCCAUCACAAUGCACAUGGCUUCACCCCUUUUCUCUGCACAGUACCUGACCUAUAAGAGCUAUUUUCUUUUCAACAGGAGAGGGCAUCUGUAAAAUUCUUGGUGCAAACUGCACCACAGUGGUCUUCUCUCCUUCCUUUACUCCCUCCCUUUGGAGGGCUCGGGUCUUGCUCUCUCUUGCUCCCUCAUGGCUCUCUGGUAUCUUCUUCCCCACUAGGAGCUGUUAUAGUUCAAGUAAUCUGGAGAAGAAGAUCCAACCUGGGAGUGUUUGUGUGUGCCCAGCUCUCACAGAGGUGUUCUGGGGAUGCAGAAAUGAGCAGGGCAGCAUAGAGGUGAUGUUGCAGAGUGGAGGUGAGGAGCAAGGGCUCUGGAUUCAGACCACACUAUAACUCAGUGUGCAGCCUUAGAGCUAGUCACUUAAUUAUACUGUACCUCAGUUUCCCUGUCUGUAAAAUAGGAAUAAAAUUAAUCAACCUCAUGAAUGAACAAUGCAUUCUAGUGUUGAGCACAUCCAUCAGUUCCAAUAAAUGUGUAUUGGUACUAACUGACUCCAACUGAGGAGCCAGGGUAGGGAACUGUGCAGUAGGGUGGAGUGGUCCCCACAACAAUUGGCCUUCUCUCCCACAGAUGGGAGAGAUCAUAGGGUGGAAGACUUGGACAUAGGUGUCCCUUGAGGGAUGGGAAAUAAUUAUUGAUGUUGUUUCUGUAGUUUGGGGCACUGGGAGUGGUUCCCAGCGCUUGGCACAGGCUGAGCAAGUGUUCCUCCCAUGAGCAACAGUCCCAGUAGUUUUUAGAUGAGCAGAUGGGAGUAGUCUGACUUAUCCUAGUUGGGGAAGACAAGCAAGCCUCCCCAAUCCCUCUAAUCCAUGUUCUUGACCACCCCAACUCUUACCCCCACCCUCUGCAUCAGAAAACAAUUUAAUGAACUCCAGAUGAGCCACAUGCUGCUUGCAUGACUGUAGUAUCCAUGGAGAUCUGUUCUCAAGGAGAGAAGAGAAAACCAAGGUCCCUGCACUAAGUCUCCGAGCCAGUGGCCUGGGCCUGCCUGCAGAGCAGACAGAGGAGUCUGUGUUUGCAGUCCCCAAAGAGCCCCAGUCUUCUUCCCCCUACCCCUCCUAUCCUGAUUGGUGGGGGUCCAGGAAACAUGUAGCCUGCCAGCCCUGGGCACCUCAUACAGGCUACUGGAGGGUAGCAUGGAGGCAGCCUCUUGGCUGUGGGAAAAUGGCGGACACAACCCUUUCCUAUCAGCACAAGAGGUAGGUUGAUAAUGAUGGUGGAUCUUAGUAUUGGCCACAAGCAUCCCCUCUGUCACCUGACCUCAGUGGCCUUGAAGAGCUUUGCUUACUAUCCAAAGAGUCACCAUAGAGGAAAGCAGCUCUAGCUGCCUGUCUGCUGGUGGAGUGCUACCUGGGCCAGUGGGAUGGGCAGCUGGUUCUGCCUUUUCAUCUGUUUUUCCCCACCCACCCGACUCUAGCCUUCCUGACUCACCGACUGCCCAUAACCUCCUGCAUUUGGCAUUAGCACUCAUGGUCCCAUGAAUAGUAAUGUCUUUUCUGUUUCCUAUUGGCCACCUAUGGCUCAUUUUUCAAGAGACCACUAGUGGUUACCUCCUCUUGUGCCAUGGUUUUGGUCAUGCCUGCCUUUGAAUCCAUGCCAUGAGAGCUUGCAUUACAUAGACCUGACUAGGGCAUCUCCAUGGUUCUGACAGUGUCACUGAUGGGGGUCUCACCUUCUUGCCUGUGCUGGUCUCAAAAGUCUGGGCUCCUGUGAGCCUACCUCGGCUUUUCAGAAGCUAGGACUCCAGCAAACCUGGCAGUCCUUUUGAAAGAUGAAGAAAAUAAGGCCUGGAGAGCCCAGCUAAGUUGCUUUGGUUGUUAAUGCAGGUAUUUUUUUUUAACUUGCUUUGUGCAUAUUUAACUUCUGAGGUGUGCCAGACACUGUGAGCAUGCCAAUGAGUAAGAUGGACAAUAAUCCCUGGAGCUUCCACUGGACCGAGGAAGGAGGAGGAGGAGGAGGUGACCUGUUGGUUGUGGGAAGUGGGAUGGAGAUGGAAGACAUCAAGGUUGCUCUAGGGGAGGCUGCCGAGGCCCAGCAUUGGUGACAGUUAAUGAAGAUCAGGCAGAACCAUGUUGGAGGAGUGAGGGGACAGCACAUCAUGUAGAGAACUAUGGGUCCUAGGGGCAAGAAGUGGAUGGAGAUGUCCCCCAAAUCAAGAGGAGGCCCGAGUGAAAGAGGAUGAUAGCCCCCAAAGAAACUUUGCAAUUUGGUUUUUGUUUACUUGCUUAAGAAUGGGGAGUGGCCUUCCUUCAGGGCUAGAGAGCCCAGGUGGUAGAGAUGACCAAGGUUUUCUUUUUUUUUAAGCCUAUGGAUGUCUGCUGUAAUUUUGCAUUUUUACUAUGUAAGCCCAUGUCAUCUCACCAAUUUUCAGUAAAGUCUGU